GCCUCAGCUGUCAUGGCGGCGCCCAUGGUGGACGCCCCUCAGGGGGUCCCCGAGCCCCCCGGGACCCCUCAGGACGCGGCCGCGGAGGAGCCCGAGGAGGAGCUCGAUUUCCCCCAGUACGAGCUGGGCCGCCCCCCCCGCGAGGUUUGGGGGGCGCGGGAGGAAUUCGCGCAGCGCCCCGAAAACUUCCUGCGAGGCUGCAAAUGGUGAGAGACCCUAAACCCCCCC